rnacentral:rRNA from 1 species
CCUACGGGAGGCAGCAGUGGGGAAUAUUGGGCAAUGGGCGCAAGCCUGACCCAGCAACGCCGCGUGAAGGAAGAAGGCUUUCGGGUUGUAAACUUCUUUUCUCAGGGACGAAGCAAGCGACGGUUCCCGAGGAAUAAGCCACGGCUAACUACGUGCCAGCAGCCGCGGUAAUACGUAGGUGGCAAGCGUUAUCCGGAUUUACUGGGUGUAAAGGGAGUGUAGGCGGGAAAGCAAGUCAGAUGUGAAAACCAUGGGCUCAACCUGUGGCCUGCAUUUGAAACUGUUGUUCUGGAGUACUGGAGAGGCAGACGGAAUUCCUAGUGUAGCGGUGAAAUGCGUAGAUAUUAGGAGGAACACCAGUGGCGAAGGCGGUCUGCUGGACAGCAACUGACGCUGAGGCGCGAAAGCGUGGGGAGCAAACAGGAUUAGAUACCCUUGUAGUC